AGGAGAGGGGCCCUGGGAGGUCGGUGCCCGACCUUCGCUAGGGAGCCCGGAACAGUCCACUCUCCAUCCUGCGGGAAAUCCUUUCUUCUAAGGGCCCUGUAGGCUUUCGUGGUGCAGAGACAAAGGAAACUACCUCCUCAGACCUCCGAGAAAGCCUUAGGUGUGGCUGAGUUAUAGAGGAAGACAAUGUGAAGUAAGGUAGCUCUUCCUCCUUUUGCUUAGGCUGCCUCAAAAGACUCAAGGCAUGCCCCAGAAAUGGGUUUCGAAUCGCCUGCUUUACAGCCACACCCAGACAUCCUGCGGCAGCUCAGCUCAGCACAUUCAGAACCAGAUUUGUGAUUGUCUCCCUCCAGCCUGCUCCCGUUUCUGUUACGGUUAUCAUGAUCUGUCUCUGUGAACCUUCAAGUGUAAGUCUUCUCUCCUCUGAUCCGUUGUUGAGCCCCACGACUUCUUUGCAGCGACCUUUCUCUCCUCUACUUCCACUAGCUAUACUGUUGACCCCAUUCUAGUGCUUGAACAGUUUCUUCCUGUGUG
ensembl:lncRNA